rnacentral:snRNA from 1 species
GGAUGUGAGGGCGAUCUGGCUGCGACAUCUGUCGCCCCAUUGAUCGCCAGGGUUGAUUCAGCUGAUAUGGCUGGCUCCCUCACCGCUCCCUGUGCGUCCCUCCCGAAGCUGCGCGCUCUGUCGAAGAGGACGGCCUUCCCCGAAUAGAGAUGGACGGGGCUUCGGUCGAGGGUAUACGAGUAGCUGCGCUCCCCUGCUAGAACCUCCAAACAAGCUCUCAAGGUCCAAGACUUAAACUUUUUUUUAGUAUCUGAAACACAUACAGUAUGGAGAAGGCCCACU